rnacentral:rRNA from 1 species
UACAUGUGGGGCAAGCGUUGUUCGGAAUUACUGGGCUUAAAGGGCGCGUAGGCGGACCACCAAGUCCGGGGUGAAAUCCUCCGGCUUAACCGGAGAAUUGCCUGGGAUACUGGUGGCCUCGAGGGGGGUAGGGGCAUGUGGAACUUCCGGUGGAGCGGUGAAAUGCGUAGAUAUCGGAAGGAACGCCGGUGGCGAAAGCGACGUGCUGGACCCUUUCUGACGCUGAGGCGCGAAAGCCAGGGGAGCAAACGGG